rnacentral:rRNA from 1 species
CAGCAGCCACGGGAAUACGAAGGGUGCAAGCGUUAAUCGGAAUUACUGGGCGUAAAGCGUGCGUAGGCGGUUCGUUAAGUCUGCUGUGAAAUCCCCGGGCUCAACCUGGGAAUGGCAGUGGAUACUGGCAAGCUAGAGUGUGUCAGAGGAUGGUGGAAUUCCCGGUGUAGCGGUGAAAUGCGUAGAGAUCGGGAGGAACAUCAGUGGCGAAGGCGGCCAUCUGGGACAACACUGACGCUGAGGCACGAAAGCGUGGGGAGCAAACAGGAUUAGAUACCCCAGUAGUCCCUGUCUCUUAUAC